AUUGAACGCUGGCGGCAGGCUUAACACAUGCAAGUCGAACGAGUGGCGGACGGGUGCGUAAUGCUUGGGAAUCUAUCUUAUGGAGCGCGCUCACUACGGGAAACUUUAGCUAAUACCGCCUACCAUAGGCUGAGCCCAAUUGGCUUUAGGUAGUUGGUGAGGUAAAGGAUCACCAAGCCGACGAUCUCUCCCUGGUCUGUGAGGAUGACCAGCCACACUGGGACUGAGACACGGCCCAGACUCCUACGGGAGGCAGCAGUGGGGAAUAUUGCACAAUGGGGGCAACCUGAAGCAGCCAUGCCGCGUGAAUGAAGAAGGCCUUCGGGUUGUAAAGUUCUUUCGGUAGCGAGGCGUUAACCACAGAAGAAGCACCGGCUAACUCCGUGCCAGCAGCCGCGGUAAUAC
rnacentral:rRNA from 1 species